UUUAGGAGUUGUUCUUCUCUGUGGACUCUGUGGCUUCUGUGCUGCGAGGGAAGUAGACGGUGGUCUUGUGCUCUUCGUAGCGGUCGAUGUGCUUUAGAUGGACCACCAUGUGCAGAGCGUACGCCAACACCAGCAGCAGGAUCAGAGAUGUGAUCAAACCCAUGAGGAUCGCUGGAGUAAAGAAGGUCGCGCAGUCGCUGGCCGAUGCAAACUUACUGGAAUGAAGAAAGACCCUUUGGUGUCCACCGUUGCGGCCGGGCCGAAGGUUCGGUCCGUCAGGUCCACUAAACUGUGGUUCUUGUAUCUGAUGGCCAGUUUUCGGGCUCUAAAGAGGAUGCAGGUUUUCCCGUUGUGCACGACGCUCAGAGGAGAAUAAAGCAGCGCUCCUGGAGUCUGCAGUAACUUACGGCUCAGGUGCCAUCCGUACGGCUAAAUACAAACAUAUUGUAGGCUAGUAAAAUUCAUUCAAAUGAUACUAAUUAAACAGUUCACAUAUUAAACCACUGCUAAAGAAAACAAGUGUUUGUGUUAAAUACAGAACCUGUGACAGUUUUCCAUUCAGAAAGUGAAUGAGAGAUCGUCUGAGAUCAACUUUAAACGCUGAACCUUCAUCACCAACACCAUCUGGACAAGAACACAACCAAUGAGAGAGUCUGUCCAAAUAAUCAGACAAUUCAAUUAAAUAUGCAAGAUU